CACCGGUGCACAGGCAGCUAGCCUGUUCUGUUACCCUACGCCACAUUCAGUUUAUUUCGAACUGCAGGAUGCUGACUAGGGGAGAUGGUGGCUUGACUGCUCUGAGCGCCAGAGGCCCUGCGGUUCAAAGUCUGCAAGAGUGAACGCAAGCUAAAGGAUCGGCCCGGGCGCUACAGCUCCCCCUGCCAGGUUGGUGGUGUCUCGGGAAACAAGUACGCCAUCUGGUGUCCAACAGGAGAAGCUACAAAAGGAGCCCACCGUGUGCGGAAGAGCCGCCAACUCUGCACAGAAGGCCGACCCGCAACGUGGUGGGAAGUGUGGACUGUUUGGCAUUUGGAGUCUUGGACUCGAGUCCACUUCCCGAGCAUGCGCAAAGGAAAAAAAAAAAAAAACAACCCAGCCUCGUCAGAAAUUGUUUAUACCAUACAGUGAGGGUUGGGGUUCUGUGUUUAAAAUGUAGCAUGGGGAAAUAAAAUCACAGACCACUUUGGCUUCUUGUCACCCUAAGGACCCUGGCAACAUUGGGUGGUACAGAAGAGAACUGUCCCAAUGGGCUAAUAGCAAAAUGUCACGGCUAUUUCGGCUUUAACUUAUUUCUUGUUUUCCCUAUCUCGCUGAUGAGCAGAGCAUGAAAAAAAACAAAACAAAACAAACAAACAAACAAAAAAAAAACCCCAACAUCUGCGAGUCAGAAACUUGAGGGUAAACAAGGCCUGUAUCUCCCUUUUGUGAGUCCUGGGAUCAAUUAGGAAUAACCACACUUAUUGCCUGUAGUAGGGGUGCAAGGUCACCCCAGGCGACCAGUUUACCUCUGUCAGACUUGCUGGGGAAAGGGGGGUGCAAGCUGGAAUGUGCAGCCGCCCGCGAGGGGCUCUCCCCAAGCCCCUGCUUUGCUUCAGUGCCCUUUCGCCCGCCCCUCCCCCGGUGGCGGUGGGCGGGGGCUUCCGGGCACGAGUCCCGGAGCAGGCCUUUGUGUGCACGCAGGACCAGAUGAGCCCAGACGACCGCUGCAAGGCAGACCCAGCCCCGCAGCCCGGCUGUCCGGUUAGGGUGCUUAGACGCAGCGCGAGAAAGACGGGAAGAGCUCACCAAACCCCCAUAAAAAAAUAAAAAGAAA